GACGAACGCUGGCGGCGUGCUUAACACAUGCAAGUCGAACGAAGUGGCGAACGGGUGAGUAACGCGUAAUCAACCUUCCCUUCAGAGGGGGACAACAGUUUGAAACGCCUGCUAAUACCGCCUAAUGAAGGAGGGGUAUGCGUCUGCUUAGCUAGUUGGAGGGGUAACGGCCCACCAAGGCGAUGAUCAGUAGCCGGUCUGAGAGGAUGACCGGCCACAUUGGGACUGAGACACGGCCCAGACUCCUACGGGAGGCAGCAGUGGGGAAUCUUCCGCAAUGGACGAAAGUCUGACGGAGCAACGCCGCGUGAGUGAUGACGGCCUUCGGGUUGUAAAGCUCUGUUAAUCGGGACGCGGUACCGGAAUAGAAAGCCACGGCUAACUACGUGCCAGAGCCGCGGUAAUUC
rnacentral:rRNA from 1 species